GCCGGGCCGGGCCGGGCCAAGCGGGGCUGCGACCGCCGCCUCCCGCAGUGCCCGGCCCGGCCCGGCCCGGCCGGCUGCAAACGCCCCGGUCCCCCUGUCCCGCGGCUCCAGGACGUGGGGACAGACAGGCACGGACCCCGUGUUGUUAUAUUGGAGUAGACAUAGGUGCCUCUGUAUACAAGAGUCGCUGAGAUUUUCAUGAGAGGUGGGAGCUGCGGGUGACUCUUCUCGGGCUUGGAUGUGAGAUUGCAGCAGUUCCUGCAUCCCCUGGUGUGACAGAGCUGGGAGAUGGAGGCAGGGAUGGAGACGGAGCGUCCUGUGCUCUGGGGGCUCCUCCAGCCCCUCCUCAGCCACAUGAAGCUAAGAGACUGUGGGGGGUCAGGUGCUAAGGCCCCUUCUCAUAGGCCUGCCUGCCUGGACUUUACAGCCACCACACGAUCGCACCAUAAAAUCCAGCUGCACUGCAGAGUCGUUGCAUCCAGUGCCCCUGGGCUGGGCUGGAGAGCAGGUCCCUGCCUGCUUUCCUAGAUGUGCAUCGGAGGAACGACGCCUGUAAUUCGCCCUUAUUCACUGUUCAUCUGACAUCUCAUAGUUCCUGAGUUGUUUGCAGGACAGCACCUCCUUUUUCCUCAGCCCCUUUCCAUGCAUGUCCAAAUGUCCCUGCCCUUCUCUUCCUCAAGUGGAUUUUUCUAAACCCGGGGUUUUCUCCCCCGCCUACUUCUGGACACUGAAGCCUGUCAGGUUCCUCCCAGAAUAAAUGUGUCGAGAUAGAUGGAGUCAAGGAGACCUGCAAUCGUGUACGGGGAGCCUGGGGGUGGGCUGCGAGGAUGCGUGCCAUUCAUGUGCCAGGCUGACGGGUGCAGCCCUGGGCUCUCUUUGACUACUGGUUGCCCAACCCCCAUCGAGCCUAGUUUAAAGCUCUUGGGAGGAGAUCAGCCAAGCUGCGGGCCAACAGAUACUUACCUCUGGGGGAGAGAUGAAGAUCAUCAUCUCCCAGGAAGCCUCCUCCCUGCAAGUGCUGGUCAUGGCUGUAGAAUCCGAAGCUCUCCUGAAGACACCGACUCUGGAGCCGCCGGUUAACUUCUUUGAUGCAGGCACCCUGGCGUCUCCAGCUGCUGCCGACCGGAAAGAUGGAAGAAAAUACAACCUGUGCUCCAGUCUUCUUGAGGCUGUCUCCCAGUUCAUGGAAGUCCUUCAUGAUGCAGUCAGGGCUGGUCCUAGCCGCAUCGUUGGUUCCCACUUAUCCCAGAUCACCUGUUCCCUCUUAUCUGGGGUGACCUGUUUCUGCGCCUGGGCCACCCGUCAAAGUUCCUCCAAGCUGGGGUUUGAACUCCUGCCCAGCUAGGCAAUCAGCAGGGAGUUCAAGUGCUUCCCUAAGGGGUGACCCUUCCUUCACUGGGAUGUUCUCUAAUUCCUCCCUGAGAGCCUCGGCUUCCUCUGCCACUGACUGACUGGGCUCCUCCCUGGGGCUGUCACUUAGCUUGACCCCAGGGUCAUUGGUUCCCUCAGCAGCCAGCUGGUUGCUGCAGUCGGGGGGUCUCUUCCUUAUCCCCCUCUUGCCUCCACAGCCAACUGGGUUACUUGGCUCUGGGCGGUUUCCCUACCUCCCCUCCUCACCUUCUUGCUCUGCCAGCGAGUCACUACAUCAAUGCGGAGGGGAUCUAGGAAGUUUCCCCACGCUGCUCGCUUACGCUCCAGCUCUGUAAUAUCCCUCCCCACCAGCAUGGGGGCAGGAGCAUUUUCCAUUGCUUCUAUCUCCACUUCCAGUCCCUCCACCAGAUGGGGAGACGUGCUACCUGUACUUUGGAUGGCAUGGCAUUAAAAAAAACAGUUAAAAUAAAACAAAAUCAAAAUGUG